rnacentral:lncRNA from 1 species
UAAUCAAACAUUAAGCAAGCUCAAUUAAAUUUUAUUGAAAUUAUAAAAGAAACACAAGGAAAUCUUAAAGAAAUAUAAAAGAAUAUUAAAGAAAACUUAGUCAAAUCCUAACAAAAAUCUAAUAGAACCUUAAAUUCUAACCAAAUCCUAAUCUUAAUCCAACCUUAAUCAAAUCCUAAAUAAAUCCUAAAUCCUAAACCAAAUCCUAAUCAAAUCUUAAUUUCUAAUCAAGCCCUAAUCCAAAUCCUAAAUUCUAAAUCAAAUCCUAAUCCAAACCCUAAAUCCUAAACCAAAUCCUAUCCAAAUCCUAAAUCCUAAACCAAACCCUAAUCCAAACCUUAAAUCCUAAACCAAACCCUAAAUCCUAAAUCAAACCCUAAUCAAACCUUAAUC